GCUUACUUGGUGAAAUUGGUAAACACGAAAGACUUAAAAUCUUUUUUCUUCAAAGAAUUACUGGUUCAAGUCCAGUAGUAAGCA
rnacentral:tRNA from 1 species